rnacentral:lncRNA from 1 species
UUCGAUAGUCGGUUCCCGAUAUCAUCACUUUUUUUAUUUAAUUUUUCACUUUCAUUUCUUCUCUCCAUACUCUUACAUUUCUUCCUUUCUUCACAGCAAAUUCUGAUAAAACUCAUAGUCUUCUCUUUUAUCUGUCCCAUCCCUCUGUCUCUCAUCAGGUUCUCAGUUAUCUCCUCAGCCCCCUCAAAUAGUUUCUCGUUUUUUUCUUCCUUUCCCUCGAAGUAUUCU